GAACACGCUAAUCACGUUGGCAUGCCACUGUCAAGUUAAACAACUCAAGUCAAUUCAAAUCACCCUCUCCUAAAUUCAAGCCUCCUCCGCCGUGCCGAAAUUCGUUUCUGGUGGCGGCGGAGCCUAAACCACUAAAUUCAUAUACCAUACUUCUCAUUUACACACCCUGAAUUCAAAUACUUGAUCAGAUUCUCCAAACUCAUCACAAAUUAAUCGAAUCGAGGUGAUUUCUCUAUGAACCCUAGACAGUAAAACUCAAGUUAAACUCUCCCUACCUGGAAUUGAAUCCCUAGGGGGUUUUGAUUCCAUUCAUCUCCAACUACAUUAUGGUAACAAGUUCGAUGCGAAACAAUGAAGAAAUCAACCUACCUUCCGGAGACGACGAAGAUGAAGAGGAUUCCGUCUGUAGGUUGCGUUGAUGUUGUUUCAUUAUGUGAGAAAAGAGUGAAGGGAUUGAGGUUGAAGCUCAAUUGAUUAGAGCUUUUGAUGCUGAAGCUCUAACAAUUAUGAUGGUUCAGAGUGUGUGGUGAGGGCUAUGAAAGAUGGAGAGAAAGAAUCACAGGGAGAACGAGAGAGUGAUGAUGAAUCGUGGCGAUGAUCCCCCAAUGAUUGGGAAUGAUUGGAAUUUAUAUAGAGUGGUGAUUGCAAUAGAAUUGGGCAGCUCGGGUAGCUCUGUUAGGCCAGUUCACAAUGUUAACUCUUCCAAGGGUUGUGGCUGCAGGAUAUUGCACAUUGUUGGACAUGAUUUCGUAUGCUAUGGUUAGGAAAUUAGGUUGGUUUGCUGAUGUAAAUGAUGAUUGUUGUCAAUUUUGGACGCUCUGUUAUGUCUCGAGUGACCUCCUACAGGACUAUGGCCAAGGUAUUGGAGGGUCUGUUGCAUACAUGUUUUGCAGGUUAAUGUCGUUGUUUGGCCUGCUGCAGGGUUUGAAGUUAUAGGUUGCAACUGAACCAUUUGCACUUAUGCUUAUAGGCUACAUAUUGUUAUGGUUAUAACUUAAUUUGCAGGAUGCACUUGCAACAGAUGGCCUGUCAUUGAGUCAAAACCUUGCUUGAAUUGUAUGACUGUGUAGUGUGUGCAUCCACCUAUGCCCUAUCAAGCUCACAACUAGGGCUUGAGACCUUCACAGAAAGAGAUCAAUCAAGGAGUGGUUUACCAUUGGUUCUAAACAUUAUAUAUAGAUCCCCAUGUUCCUCAUUUAUCAUUUUGAUCAAGAAUUCAUCAAGAGUUUGAAGUUUGUUUGCCUUGGAAGCCCUAAUUCAUCUAGGUAUCUUGUGUGACUUCCUCAGUAAGUUUCUUCAACAAUUAAUCAAAUAUAUCAAGGGAUACUUCAUUUUACAUCAUCUUAUGCAUAUAUGAUCCUCUAUGAGCUCUAAAGAUCAAAAGAACUUCAAGUUUGCAAGUUGGUUCAAAGAGGUUGACCAGAGAAAGUCAACUGAUCAGAACUGGGGUUCCCUAGACCCUAUCUCCUACAAUUUUUGUCAUAUGAAAUGAUUCAAAGAUAAAAUUUACUCUUUAUGACAUUACAAACAACUUUCAUGUUCGCAUUAAGAUCUAGUUUUGCUUGGAAAGUCAUUUUUUAUGGUGAAACAUUAUAGGUCAUUUUGUUUGUGCCCUAGUUAGGAGGUCAACUUCCAAGGACCAUAACUUGGUCAAUUUUUAUGAUAUGAAGGACAUAUAAGUUUCAUGAUAAA